rnacentral:rRNA from 1 species
AUGGCCGGGACGGCGAACUUUUGUACACGGCAAGUCUCCGUGCCAACGGACAACGGCGCCAGGUUGUUUCAUCACCACCGUUGUGAACCAGGACAAAACGAGAGCAGUGUGAGGUAUGUUCACCAUGGGCAGGCCAAUGCCUCAUGGCCGUCGGACCUAUUGGAGAAGAAAAGCACGGUCCAGCCGUCCAGGCUGAAGCCUAUGCCAUGCUGUCGAGCGCCGGAUCCAUGCAUGGGGAAGGAAAAGGAUUCAGGCUUGCAAGGGAGCGAAGACGGGCUGGGGAAGAAGAGAAGGCACAGCGGUGGCCAUCGGAAGUCUACCAGCGUCCGGAGUGGGUCGGGGACGGGCUGA